rnacentral:lncRNA from 1 species
GCAGUGCCUUGAAAGAUUCAGACCUCCCAUAGAGAACAGUACAAUUGCCUGAUUUCCUGUCCUUUACAGCCCGAGUGAUUGAUGUAUCUAAUGGGAAAGUUCAUGUUGCUGAAAGCUGUUUGGAAGAAACAGGUGGCCUGGGAGUAGAUAUUGUCCUAGAUGCUGGAGUGAGAUUAUAUAGUAAAGAUGAUGAACCAGCUGUAAAACUACAACUACUACCACAUAAACAUGAUAUCAUCACACUUCUUGGUGUUGGAGGCCACUGGGUAACAACAGAAGAAAACCUUCAGUUGGAUCCUCCAGAUAGCCACUGCCUUUUCCUCAAGGGAGCAACGUUAGCUUUCCUGAAUGAUGAAGUUUGGAAUUUGUCAAAUGUACAACAGGGAAAAUAUCUUUGUAUCUUAAAGGAUGUGAUGGAGAAGUUAUCAACUGGUGUUUUCAGACCUCAGUUGGAUGAACCCAUUCCACUGUAUGAGGCAAAAGUUUCCAUGGAAGCUGUUCAGAAAAAUCAAGGAAGAAAAAAGCAAGUUGUUCAAUUUUAAUUUUCUUCUUUCUCAGACCUCAGUCGGAUGAACAUAUUCCAGUAUUUGAAGCC